GAGGUCUUAGCUUAAAGUGCCAAAGUGGUUGAGUUGCAUUCAACGGAUGUACAGUAUGUACAGACCUU
rnacentral:tRNA from 1 species